GACCAGCCUGGGAGGUAUAAUGAGGCCUUGUCUCUACAAAGAUAACAAUAAAAACAUUAGCAUGACAUGAUGGUAUGCACCUGUAGUUCCAGCUAUUCAGGAAGUUGAGGUGGGAAGAUUGCUUGAGGUCAGGAGUUUGAGACCACAGUGAGCCUUAAUCAGGCCCCUGCAUUCUAGCCCUGGGUUGACAGAGUGAGACCCAGUUUCAUAAAAAGAGAUUGAUAAGAAACUCUUGAUGCAACUCAUUAUAAUUUUAAAUGGAAACUAAUUCUUGAUAUUACCUUAGCAGUGUGUCCCCGAGAAAGUGUCAGAGCCUUUACGUGGACUUUCUCAUGAAAAAGGAAACAGAAUAGUCAAUGGAAAAGGAAAAGGCAAUGAAAAGAAGAAGCCAAGAAGAACCCUCAAAACCUUAAGUAAUUAUUUUUAUAGCCAGGCCUGAGAAUUCAGCUCGACAGUAACACUGCAUGAAUGUUUGGUUGGCCCUGUCAUACUUACAUAUAAUUGAUGACAUAUCCCCUUUGCUCUGUAGGGCCUCCUGCAAAACAUCCUUCCUUGAAGCCUAGCACUGAAGUGGAAGAUCCUGCUGUGAAAGGAGCAGUACAAAGAAAGAAUGUACAGACAUUGAGAGCAGAACAAACCUUACCAGUGGCUUUAGAGGAAGAGCAAGAAAGGUGUGAAAGAAGUGAAAAGAAGCAAUCACAGGUCAAAGAAGGAAAUAAUACAAACAAAAGUGAAAAAAUACAUCUAUCAGAAAAUGUAUGUCAUAGUACAUCUUCUGCUGCUGCUGACAGAUUAACCAAACAAAGAAAGGUUGGGAAAAAGUAUCCUCAGCAAUUUCCCAAGAAACUGAAGGAAGAGCA